rnacentral:tRNA from 1 species
GGAGGAAUACCCAAGUCCGGCUGAAGGGAUCGGUCUUGAAAACCGACAGGAGCUUAACGGCUCGCGAGGGUUCGAAUCCCUCUUCCUCCG